rnacentral:lncRNA from 1 species
CAGGGUUUUCUACUCUGAGAACUUCAAAAUGCCUCUGGACAACUUGUUCCAAAACUACACUAAGCUUGUGGUGAAAAAGUUUUUAACUACAACAGGCUGAAGAUUGACUGUAGAGAACUUUUCUAAACAGUUCUGCUGGCAUGUUUGUUAGUGCAGCAAUGAGGCUCUGCUGUAUGUGUGCCCUGGUGCUCUGGAAACACCCUGAGGCUUUCUUCAGGUUUGCUGCAGGCUUGCUCCAUGGAGACAUGAAUCCACUCAUGAAAGGUAUCUUCACCUCUUGAGCAUACAUGAAAUAUUGCUGGCUAAUUGUUACCAGUUUUCCCAGGUAGAAAAAGAACAGUCAAUCAAGGUUGUCAGAAUUGUUACAGCAAACAAU